rnacentral:tRNA from 1 species
GCCCUGGUGGUGGAAUUGGUAGACACGAGGGACUUAAAAUCCCUUGGAACGCAAGUUUCGUGCAGGUUCAACUCCUGUCCGGGGCA